AUCACUGUCAAUCUGGUGCACCUGAGCUCAUUUUGGGGCAAAUUUUCGUUUCUGGUAUUUACCCGUUAAACUUGACACAAAAGGCGACGAAAUAUUAUCGAAAAGCGAGAUGUUGUUGUCCUGGAAGUGACAUUAUCCACAGAAUAGGUUGCAUUUGUGGACAAAACGUGAGAAGAGCAGCAGAGAAGUUGUGAAUUUUCGAAAAACUACGUCGUGACAAAUAUUCUGGAUUAUUAGCAGCGCUGGGCGACGAAAGGACCAGUUUUAAGCACCAGUGGGCUGCACCAGUGAUGAAAGAAUGAAUUAGACCUCACCUCUCACCUGUUGGAGGCUGUUGAUGGGACCGUUAGUUGCCUCAUUGUCUAAGAACACCCACGACCCUGCGUUCCCCACCAUCCUCAACUAAGCGACGCACAUUCGAUGGCCUGCUCGAAGGGCUGAUGCUGAUUUGUGCACGAAGGCUGCAGCAGGGUCCCGGUGAUAUUGAGUUCAGGCCAGGAACCUUAACCACAGCGUGAUGCAAAAGUUUCACCCUGGUCGCCCUUCGUGUAGCUCCUGCUUUUACUUACUUUCUUUAUUUAAUAUGUAUGAACGUGAGAUCAUUCCUUGUCUUAAUCUAUGUGUUAGUGUGUGUUUUUCAUGGUUAACAAUACAAUUAUUACCUGUGUACCUUGAUAAA